AUACGGAGGGUGCAAGCGUUAUCCGGAAUCAUUGGGUUUAAAGGGUCCGUAGGCGGACUAUUAAGUCAGAGGUGAAAUCCCACAGCUCAACUGUGGAACUGCCUUUGAUACUGGUAGUCUUGAGUUAUAUGGAAGUAGAUAGAAUGUGUAGUGUAGCGGUGAAAUGCAUAGAUAUUACACAGAAUACCGAUUGCGAAGGCAGUCUACUACGUAUAUACUGACGCUAAGGGACGAAAGCGUGGGGAGCGAACAGGAUUAGAUACCCGUGUAGUCC
rnacentral:rRNA from 1 species